AAGUCGUAACAAGGUUUCCGUAGGUGAACCUGCGGAAGGAUCAUUAACACGUACCCAACGUUAAACAACCCUGUGAACUUUCAACGCUCUUGUAACCAGGCGGAACAGCAAUCCCGGUAAAUCCGUGGGCGGAAAAGUUUUGAUUCGGGACCUCUGUCCAAAAGAAUCGAGCUAGGAGCAGUGGCACCGGAAACGCCGGCACAAAAACCGAACAACUGUUAACAAUGGAUAUCUUGGUUCUC
rnacentral:misc_RNA from 1 species